AGGGAAUCUUUCACAAUUGACGGCAGUCUGAUGGCGCAACUCCGCGGGGGGGGUGAAGGUUCUCGGGUUGUUAAAGCCCUUUGUGAGGGAAGAACGAGUACGUGAGGCAACACACGGAUCUUGACGGUACCUGAUGAGUAAGCACCGGCUAACUACGUGCCAGCAGCCGCGGUAAUACGUAGGUGGCAAGCGUUGUCCGGAAUUAUUGGGCGUAAAGCGCGCGCAGGUGGUUUCUUAAGUCUGAUGUGAAAGCCCACGGCUUAACCGUGGAGGGUCAUUGGAAACUGGGAGACUUGAGUGCAGAAGAGGAAAGUGGAAUUCCAAGUGUAGCGGUGAAAUGCGUAGAGAUUUGGAGGAACACCAGUGGCGAAGGCGACUUUCUGGUCUGCAACUGACGCUGAGGCGCGAAAGCAUGGGGAGCAAACA
rnacentral:rRNA from 1 species